AUUGAACGCUGGCGGCGUGCUUAACACAUGCAAGUCGAGCGGUAAGGCCCCUUCGGGGGUACACGAGCGGCGAACGGGUGAGUAACACGUGAGCAAUCUGCCCUUCACACGGGGAUAACUUCGGGAAACCGGAGCUAAUACCCGAUACGACCACCUCGGGCAUCCGAUGGUGGUGGAAAGCUCCGGCGGUGAAGGAUGAGCUCGCGGCCUAUCAGCGUGUUGGUGGGGUAACGGCCCACCAAGGCAACGACGGGUAGCCGGCCUGAGAGGGUGACCAGCCACACUGGGACUGAGACACGGCCCAGACUCCUACGGGAGGCAGCAGUGGGGAAUAUUGGACAAUGGGCGAAAGCCUGAUCCAGCAACGCCGCGUGAGGGAUGACGGCCUUCGGGUUGUAAACCUCUUUCAGCAGGGACGAAGCGCAAGUGACGGUACCUGCAGAAGAAGCACCGGCCAACUACGUGCCAGCCGCCGCAGUAACAC
rnacentral:rRNA from 1 species